rnacentral:rRNA from 1 species
GACGAACGCUGGCGGCGUGCUUAACACAUGCAAGUCGAGCGGAAAGGCCCUUUCGGGGGUACUCGAGCGGCGAACGGGUGAGUAACACGUGAGUAAUCUGCCCUUGGCUUUGGGAUAACCACCGGAAACGGUGGCUAAUACCGGAUAUGACGGGCUCCGGCAUCGGGGUUCGUGGAAAGUUUUUCGGCCAGGGAUGUGCUCGCGGCCUAUCAGCUUGUUGGUGGGGUAAUGGCCUACCAAGGCUUCGACGGGUAGCCGGCCUGAGAGGGUGACCGGCCACACUGGGACUGAGACACGGCCCAGACUCCUACGGGAGGCAGCAGUGGGGGAUAUUGGACAAUGGGCGGAAGCCUGAUCCAGCAACGCCGCGUGAGGGAUGACGGCC